rnacentral:lncRNA from 1 species
CCUGACUCCAUUUGAAAUAUUUUGAAUUUUUUUGGGGGGUGGGGUACCAGGGAUUGAACUCAGAGGCACUCAACCGCUGAGCCCCAUCCCCAGUCCUAUUUUGUAUUUAGAGACAGGGUCUCACUGAGUUGCUUAGCACUCGCUUUUGCUGAGACUGGCAUUGAACUUGUGAUCCUUCUGUCUCAGCUUCCUGAGCCACUGGGAUUACAUGUGUGCGCCACCAUGCCCAGCUUUUUGAAUCUUUUUACAACUUUUCUCCUAAUCCUUAUCAGAAUUAUAAACAGAGUGGAAUCUUACUUUCUUUUCCUCUUACGAUAUUGGCCAAAAGACCAGAAUUUGGUAGAAAAGGCAAGAUGGAAUGAGAAAUCCAUCAAAGAACUCAGAAAGUUAGGAGCAAAUUAUAUACACAUUUCCUUACCAAAAAGAAUACUUGAUCUAUGUUAUAUACAAAUCUCCUACCUGCUUUUCUCCGUGAUUCCUGUAUGUAUGUGUGCAUAAACUGAAGGCCAAAUAAUUCCCGUUCCUCCUCUUCAUCUACGCUUUCACUGGGAGGAAGUGUUACUUCCAGUUUCAGUGGGUUGUCUCUGAAGUUGACAAACCUAGCAGUUCACCAAAAAAACAGUAUUUUUAUAGGUGCCAUGGAAGUGUACAUUUAUUUUCCUGGAGAAAGAUCAAAUGACAAUAUACUAAAUUACUCUUUUUUUUUAACUGGUUUCAAUAACUGAACAUCUGGGUGAGAUGUGAUAUAUCCCAAGAAUCUUUUAAGUUUCUUUCCUAGAAGAAAAAAAUAUUAGCUUUGAACAACUUAUUUUCUAAGCUUAGUAAAAGAAGUAUUAUUUCAUAGCAUAUAUUUAAUGUGAUACAGUUUAACUUUAAAGAGCACUUCUAAUGCAUCUUAAAUAAAUAAUGCUAUGAAUUUAGUUUCUGCCUAUUUUAUAGAUCUGUUUUAUACAGAUCUAUAAAAUAGAUCUGUCCAUCCCUGUCCCUUUUUAUUUUUUUAUUUAUAGAUCUGUUUUAUACAGAUCUAUAAAUGUGUUUUUGCCAUCUAGCACAAGGCCUUUAGUUGCUGAAUAAGUGAAUGAAGAAUGAUUUGUACCAGUUUUUGGAUUUAAUGUCUAUUAUUUUGUCAGAAAAUUAAAUUUUGAAAAAAAACAUGAUGGAGUUCUGAUAAAACUAAUAAAAAUUAUAUCUGUUUUCAUGGAGUCCUG